rnacentral:rRNA from 1 species
UGCCAGCCGCCGCGGUAAUACGGAGGGGGUUAGCGUUGUUCGGAAUUACUGGGCGUAAAGCGCUCGUAGGUGGUUAAAAAAGUUGAUGGUGAAAUCCCAAGGCUCAACCUUGGAACUGCCAUCAAAACUUUUUAGCUAGAGUGUGAUAGAGGUAAGUGGAAUUUCUAGUGUAGAGGUGAAAUUCGUAGAUAUUAGAAAGAACACCAAAUGCGAAGGCAACUUACUGGGUCACUACUGACACUGAGUAGCGAAAGCAUGGGUAGAGAAGAGGAUUAGAUA